rnacentral:rRNA from 1 species
GACGAACGCUGGCGGCGCGCUUAACACAUGCAAGUCGAACGGAAAGGCCUGCUUUCCCUUGUGGAUUGCGGGUACUCGAGUGGCGAACGGGUGAGUAACACGUGAGUGAUCUGCCCCCAACUUGGGUAUAAGCCUGGGAAACUGGGUCUAAUUCCCGAUAGGACUGCAGGGUGGUGCCUGUGGUGGAAAACGAUUUUCUAGUGGUUGGGGAUGAGCUCGCGGCCUAUCAGCUUGUUGGUGGGGUAAUGGCCUACCAAGGCGGCGACGGGUAGCCGGCCUGGGAGGGUGGACGGCCACAUUGGGACUGGGCGACGGCCCAGACUCCUACGGGAGGCAGCAGUGGGGAAUAUUGCACAAUGGGCGGAAGCCUGAUGCAGCGACGCCGCGUGGGGGAUGACGGCCUUCGGGUUGUAAACUCCUUUCGACCGCGAGGAAGCCACCUGGUUGGAAGGGUGGUGACGGUAGUGGUAGAAGAAACACCGGCUAACUACGU